GGGAAAUGCAGGGAGAUGUGGGGAAAUCCAGAGAAAUGUGGGGAGAUCCAGGGAAAUCUGGGGAAAUGCAGGGAGAUGUGGGGAAAUCCAGGGAAAUAUGGGGAGAUCUGGGGAAAUGUGGGGAGUCCUGGGGAAAUGCAGGGAAAUCCAGAGAGAUCCAGGGAAUUUGGGGAAAUCUGGGGAGAUCAGGGAAAUGCAGGGAGAUCUGGGGAAAUCCAAGGAAAUAUGGGGAGAUGUGGGGAAACGUGGGGAAUCCUGGGGAACUGCAGAGAGAUCUGAGGAAAUGUGGGGAAAUCCAGAGAGAUCCAGGGAAUUCGGGGAAAUCUGGGGAGAUCCAGGGAAAUCCAGGGAAAUCUGGGGAAAUGCAGGGAGAUGUGGGGAAAUCCAGGGAAAUAUGGGGAGAUCUGGGGAAAUGUGGGGAGUCCUGGGGAAAUGCAGGGAAAUCCAGAGAGAUCCAGGGAAUUUGGGGAAAUCUGGGGAGAUCAGGGAAAUGUGGGGAAAUCCAGGGAGAUCUGGGGAAAUCCAGGGAAAUAUGGGGAGAUCUGGGGAAACGUGGGGAAUCCUGGGGAACUGCAGGGAGAUCUGAGGAAAUGUGGGGAAAUCCAGAGAGAUCCAGGGAAUUUGGGGAAAUCUGGGGAGAUCAGGGAAAUGCAGGGAGAUCUGGGGAAAUCCAAGGAAAUAUGGGGAGAUGUGGGGAAACGUGGGGAAUCCUGGGGAACUGCAGAGAGAUCUGAGGAAAUGUGGGGAAAUCCAGAGAGAUCCAGGGAAAUCUGGGGAGAUCCAGGGAAAUGUGGGGAGAUGUGGGGAGAUCUGGGGAAAUGCAGGGAAAUCCAGAGAGAUCCAGAGAGAUCCAGGGAAAUUCAGGGAAAUCUGAGGAAAUCUGGGGAAUCCUGGGGAAGUGCAGGGAGAUCUGGGGAAAUGUGGGGAAAUCCAGAGAGAUCCAGGGAAUUCGGGGAAAUGUGGGGAGAUCCAGGGAAGUGCAGGAAGAUCCGGGGAAAUGCAGAGAAAUCCAGAGAGAUCCAGGAAAUUCGGGAAAAUCUGAGGAGAUCAGGGAGAUGCGGGGAAAUGCAGGGAAAUGUGGGGAGAUCCAGGGAAAUUUGGGAAGAUGUGGGGAAAUGCAGGGAAAUCGAGGGAAAUGUGAGGAAAUGCAGGGAGAUCCAGGGAAAUGUGGGGAGAUGUGGGGAGAUCUGGGGAAAUGCAGGGAAAUCCAGAGAGAUCCAGAGAGAUCCAGGGAAAUUCAGGGAAAUCUGAGGAAAUCUGGGGAAUCCUGGGGAAGUGCAGGGAGAUCUGGGGAAAUGUGGGGAAAUCCAGAGAGAUCCAGGGAAAUCUGAGGAAAUCUGGGGAGAUCAGGGAGAUGCGGGGAGAUCCAGGGAAAUUCGGAGAAAUGUGGGGAAAUCCAGGGAAAUGUGGGGGGAUCUAGGGAAAUCCAGAGAGGUCCAGGGAAUUCGGGGAAAUCUGGGGAGAUCAGGGAAAUGUGGGGAGAUCUGGGGAAAUGUGGGGAGAUCCAGGGAAAUUCGGGGAAAUCUGAGGAAAUCUGGGGAGCUCCAGGGAAAUGCGGGGAGAUCUGGGGAAAUGUGGGGAAAUGCAGUGAAAUCUGGGGAGAUCUGGGGAAAUGCAGGGAGAUGUGGGGAAAUCCAGGGAAAUGUGGGGAGAUCUGGGGGGAUCUGGGGGGAUCUGGGCAAAUCUGAGGAGAUCUGGGGAAAUCUGGGGAAAUUAGGGGAAAUUCAGGGAGAUGUGGGGAAAUGUGGGGAGAUCUGAGGAGAUCCAGGGAAAUGUGGGGAAAUCCCAGCAGUCUUGUGGGACUGGGGGGGGCUCAGGCAGAGCUGGGGGCGCUGCUGGGGUUAAACAAUGAAAUUCCUGGGCUUUUGCAGCCCUCAGUCCCG
rnacentral:lncRNA from 12 species